rnacentral:tRNA from 1 species
GGGUAUGGCUCAGUGGUAGAGUGCAUGCUUAGCAUGCAGGAGGUCCUGGGUUCAAUCCUCAGUACUUCCA